UUCUAUUAGAAUUAAUUAAUAGUAAAAUCUGCUCCAUGUAUAAUAAAUAGCCGCAAUUUGUGCUAAGGUAGCAUAAUCAUUUGUCUUUUAAAUGAAGACUAGAACAAAAGAUUUAACAUUUCAGUUUAUUUUCCAAAUUUAUCCUAUUAAAUUUCUCCUAAAUGUAAAAAGACAUUUAUACAUUAGAAAGACGAUAAGACCCUAUUGAACUUAACUGUAGUUAAACUGGGGCAGUAAAUUAAUUAUUAUUUUAAUAUAAAUUUCUACACAAAUAUCUAAUACAAUUAAAUAAUCAAGUUACCAUAGGGAUAACAGCGUAAUAAUUUUCUAAAGAUCUUAUUUAAAACAUAGAUUACGACCUCGAUGUUGAAUUAAUAACCUAAUUAAGGCAAAACUUAAAAAAGGAAGUCUGUUCGACUUUUAAAAAAUUACAUGAUUUGAGUUCAGACCGGUGUAAACCAGGUCGGUUUCUAUCUUCUAAAAACUUUUUUACAGUACGAAAGGACCUAAAAAUCUAAUA
rnacentral:rRNA from 1 species